GGGAUAUAGCUUUCAACGUCGUAUACGAGAUAUGACCUAAGGUUGAUCAAGGAUUAAAAACAAUACAGCGUCAGACACCACAGUAGUACUGUGCGAUACAUGUACCUACCUGACGAGUACGAGCAGACCGUAAGAUUGGCAUAUCAAGAUGUCCACGUUUGCAGUAAUACACAGUGAAGUGUUGAACAUCGGGGCUGAGGCGUUGAACAUCUCGGGCGAAUUCCGGCCACGUCAUAAUUACGACAUUUAAAUCUGUAUCCUCUUCAACAAUCAGGUCAAAGUUUCUACAGGUAUUCCGGUGGGUACGAACUGUCAACGUCACAAGUUAUUACUGCAAAAACUGGCGUGUCAAGUUUAUUCCAUCCAACACCGUUACUCUAUGGAAACCAAAUGAGGACAUUUCGCCCCUCGCCCAGAGGCUCGCGACCCGCGGCACGAAGACAGUACUAUUCGCGGGCGAUUUGCUCUCUACCAUCGGGACGAGAUGUCCUCACCCGGCUUUUCUGUGUCAUAUCUGUGUGGGGUUGUAUAGUCAUCGUGUGGAAUUAGAUGGCCACGUCGGAGUAUCCACAACUUAGUAACUAGCAUGCUACACGACCUGGAUUCUAAUAUCACCUAUUCGCCAAGAUCACUCUUUGCGUUUUACCAUCACCAAUGAAAACUGUUAACUGCUUCUUUUUCACGAAUCCGCCCUAAUGUCGUACUUCAUAUACUUUCAAGGGUCUUUUUCUUGAGUAUGGCGUAAAACACCAAUCAAAUAAAAUCUUAGA